GACGAACGCUGGCGGCGUGCUUAACACAUGCAAGUCGAACGAUGAAGCCGGAGCUUGCUCCGGUGGAUUAGUGGCGAACGGGUGAGUAACACGUGAGCAAUCUGCCCUUGACUCUGGGAUAACUGCGGGAAACUGUAGCUAAUACCGGAUACGACACCUUGGGGCAUCCCAGGGUGUGGAAAGAAUUUCGGUCAAGGAUGAGCUCGCGGCCUAUCAGCUAGUUGGUGAGGUAAUGGCUCACCAAGGCGACGACGGGUAGCCGGCCUGAGAGGGUAACCGGCCACACUGGAACGGAGGCACGGUCCAGACUCCUACGGGAGGCAGCAGUGGGGAAUAUUGCACAAUGGGCGAAAGCCUGAUGCAGCAACGCCGCGUGAGGGAUGAAGGCCUUCGGGUUGUAAACCUCUUUUAGCAGGGAAGAAGCGAAAGUGACGGUACCUGCAGAAAAAGCACCGGCUAACUACGUGCCAGCCGCCGCGGUAA
rnacentral:rRNA from 1 species